GUCCACGCCCUAAACGAUGUCAACUGGUUGUUGGGUCUUCACUGACUCAGUAACGAAGCUAACGCGUGAAGUUGACCGCCUGGGGAGUACGGCCGCAAGGUUAAAACUCAAAGGAAUUGACGGGGACCCCGCACAAGCGGUGGAUGAUGUGGUUUAAUUCGAUGCAACGCGAAAAACCUUACCCACCUUUGACAUGGCAGAAAUCCUUUAGAGAUAGAGGAGUGCUCGAAAGAGAAUCUGCACACAGGUGCUGCAUGGCUGUCGU
rnacentral:rRNA from 1 species